CAUACAUUCCCUCUGUCCAAAAAUACUUGUCAUAGGAACGAAUGGAUCUAGAUGUAUUUUAGUUUUAGAUACAUCCAUUUGUAUGCAUUUAUGCGACAAGUAUUUUUGAAUGGAGGGAGUAUUUA
rfam:Hordeum vulgare subsp. vulgare, WGS project CAJW01000000 data, contig: morex_contig_274394